rnacentral:rRNA from 1 species
GAUAAUGAUAUUGUUAAAUUGAAGCUAUUUCCUUUUUCGCUUAGAGAUCGUGCUAAAGCUUGGUUUUCGUCUUUGCCUAAAAAUAGUAUUGAUUCAUGGAAUAAGUGCAAAGAUGCUUUUAUCUCUAAGUAUUUUCCUCCCGCUAAGAUCAUCUCUCUUAGAAACGAUAUUAUGAAUUUUAAGCAACUUGAUCAUGAACAUGUUGCACAAGCUUGGGAGAGAAUGAAAUUAAUGAUAUGUAAUUGCCCUACUCAUGGUUUAAAUUUGUGGAUGAUUGUUCAGAAUUUUUAUGUCGGAUUGAAUUUUGCUUCUAGAAAUCUUUUAGAUUUGGCCACGGGAGGCACUUUUAUGGAAAUCACUUUAGGAGAUGCUACUAAACUCAUAGAUAAUAUUAUGGUUAAUAUUCUCAAUGGCAUACUAAAAGAUCUACUAAUAAAAAGGUGCAUGCGAUAG